rnacentral:sRNA from 1 species
GGAAGGGCCACCCGACCGGCGACGGGACCCGUUUGGAAGACGGGCGAGGCUCACAAGCCUUGCGGGUUCGACUCCCGCCCCUUCCG